UAGAGGUCCCGCCUGCCCAGUGACUAACUUGUUCAACGGCCGCGGUAUCCUGACCGUGCAAAGGUAGCGUAAUCACCUGUCUCUUAAAUAGAGACCCGUAUGAAUGGCAUAACGAGGGUUUAACUGUCUCCUCCUCCCAGUCAAUGAAAUUGAUCUAUUCGUGAAGAAGCGAAUAUAAAAACAUAAGACGAGAAGACCCUAUGGAGCUUUAGACAAAAGACAAAACAUGUGAAAACCCUUAAAAAAUCAAAAAAGAAUAAUAAAAGCAUAAUAAACCUAUGAUAAAUGACCUAAAGUCUUCGAUUGGGGCGAUCAUGGGGGAAAAUAAAGCCCCCACGUGGAACGGGAACAAACCCUUAAGCUAAGAGGGACACCUCAAAGCCUCAGAAAAUCUGACCAAAAAUGACCCAGAAUACCAUCUGAUCAACGAACCAAGUUACCCUAGGGAUAACAGCGCAAUCCUUUUCCAGAGCCCAUAUCGACGAAAGGGUUUACGACCUCGAUGUUGGAUCAGG
rnacentral:rRNA from 1 species